GGUGGAGCUGAAGGCUUUACGGCAGCCCCCUACUGAUUUACGGUAGGGGCAUGUCACACCAGGGGCCACCGUAACUUACGGUGCCACCGUAAGUUACGGUGGAGGCCAGUUGGAAAUCCAUGUUUUGAGAUCAAAAGUUUAACGUUCUUUUUGGAUGCCGGAAGACGAUCAAGCUCAUCGAAGGACCGAACACGAUAAAGAUACAUGCUUCCGCACAUUUCCUCGUCUUUUAAUAAACUCGUAUUUUCAUAG
rnacentral:lncRNA from 1 species